CAGCAGCCACGGGAAUACGGAGGGUGCAAGCGUUAAUCGGAAUUACUGGGCGUAAAGCGCACGCAGGCGGUUCGUUAAGUCAGAUGUGAAAUCCCCGAGCUUAACUUGGGAACUGCAUUUGAAACUGGCAAGCUAGAGUCUUGUAGAGGGGGGUAGAAUUCCAGGUGUAGCGGUGAAAUGCGUAGAGAUCUGGAGGAAUACCGGUGGCGAAGGCGGCCCCCUGGACAAAGACUGACGCUCAGGUGCGAAAGCGUGGGGAGCAAACAGGAUUAGAUACCCGGUAGUCCCUGUCUCUUAUACC
rnacentral:rRNA from 1 species